UCCCAGCUCAGGGGAAUACAAAAAGGCUGCCUCUCAACAGUACUGCUCCAGUCUAAGCUCCAUGUGUGAUGUUGCUGCAUAAAUGCUGUAAAAUGUAGCACAGAACAGCUUGGGUUGGAAGGGCUCUUCAACGACACUAGUUAGUGUGAGAACUCUGUGACUUCAGAACAAUAAUAAUAAUCCUCAGAGAUAAAAUUCAAUAAAUUCUCAGUUAUAAUAAUAUUCUUAGCACACAUGUACAAUUCCACACUAUUACAUGUUUUCAUGAAUUCUAUGUCAAAGUCUCUACUUGUAGGAACAGCAGGUUUUGUCUACAGAAGAGAUGAGCUAUUUGACAUCAAAGAACAACUUGGGUCUAAUGAACAAGCUCCUGUCUGAUGAAUUUAAGUCUGUGUCCGGCACUAUACAAGUCAGACUACACCAGCACAGGAUUUCUUAGCUCACUGUAGAACUCUGUGAAUUUAUUAAUUUUAUUAUUUUAUUCUUCUAACCUGCAUUGAAGCAACAUAUACUUGCAUUCACUGAGGAAUUCAUCACUCCCUCCUCUUGUACAAGCCUUUCAUUCUGGAAAGCCUAUCGUGUAUGAGGAAAAACUACAGCUCUGAAAAAUGAAUGAGGUGAACCAGCACAUCUGGAUUUUUUGCAUGAGAUGUCUCCAAAGAUGACUAUGUUUCCCUUUCUUCUGCGGUUCCAAAAUGUUUACCCAGCAGAAAUGCUGGGCCUGCUUCAAGAUGUAAAUUACUGAUUAUUCAAGUAAUUGCCCAAACAAUCUUUAUUGUACACAAAGAAAUACCACGUUUGGUUAAAAAGCUUGCAAAAGAGUUGCUAUCAAAAUUUGUCCCUUAAAUGAAAACUUGAUGAAUUUUAUUGCAUUACGAAACAAGGUCAAGUAGAAACAUACAGAUUUAACUUCAUAAUUUCAAUGAAGUAUCACUAUCAUAUAAACUGUUAUGAAACAGUUAGAAAACUAUGCAGCAACACCAAUGUGUCUCCCUUUUUUUUUUCUGUUUUUAUAACAUUAAUCUGUAUUUUAUGCUAUUUGUUGCAGCUGUCUUUUUUAAAAAAAAAUCAGACUACCAAACAUAAAGCAGUCGUAAGAAAACCAGUAAAGGUAAAAAUGACAGUUUAGAUAGUGAUGGAUUCUCUGGGAAAGGCACUGAAAGAGGUCAUGGCACAAAAUUACUGAGCAAAAUCAAACACAAUUUUUAGUUAAAGAAGCUUAGUGACUUUAAGGACUAAACUAUUUUAAGUUAAAUAUGUGUAACACACAUAGUUGAAGUAAUAUUAAAUAAUUUACUUAAGCUAAUUCUACCUUUUCCCAAGAAUUUUAAGAUAUAAAAAUCAACAACUCCCAAUUACAUAUUAAAAUUUCAGCCAAAACCAUUUUACUAAACACUUGUAUUACCAUAUGCUUCACAUUAAUAUUACAUGAAUUAUUGAAGACUGAUUAAAUAUACAUGUGUCUGUCCAAGCAGGUUUCUCCUCAAAAUGCAGUCUCUUGCUUUCUUCUGUUUUUAAUAUUUGCUUAAAGGCAGUACAUUUGAGUCUGUGCCUAAUGCCAGCUAAUUAUGAAUUCCUUACACCACGGUGUACUACCUGCCACUGAGGGAAGGGAAAAGCAAAUGUUUCAUGCUCCAUUUGCUGCUGACAACAUCUCACUGGGGCUGUCUGCAUUGCAGACUACUCUGUGGAACAUGUGUCCAGCAAACGUACAAUUAACAGUCAGGAGUGCUAACAGAUCAACAAGAAAUAUCACACCCUUGGCCAAGCACCCAAGGCCCUGAGCCAACACCUCCCCAGCAGCUGCAGGGGACACUGACAGCAAAGGAGGUGGCAGUUCCCAGCUCUGCUGGGCUCACCGGGGCCAUGGGCAGAUCUGCAGCAGCAUUUCAGACACAAAUACAGGGCUCUCACAUACAAAUAUAGGGCUCUCAGAUACAAAUACAGGACUCUCACAUACAAAUACACGGCUCUCAGAUACAAAUACAGGGCUCUCACAUACAAAUACACGGCUCUCAGAUAUAAAUACAGGGCUCUCACAUACAAAUACAGGGCUCUCAGAUACAAAUACAGGGCUCUCACAUACAAAUACACGGCUCUCAGAUAGAAAUACACGGCUCUCAGAUACAAAUACAGGGCUCUCACAUACAAAUAUAGGGCUC